rnacentral:rRNA from 1 species
GACGAACGCUGGCGGCGUGCCUAAUACAUGCAAGUCGACCUUAGUGGCGAACGGGUGAUUAACACGUGGCUAACCUGCCCAUCAGAAGGGGAUAACACCUGGAAACAGGCGCUAAUCUCGUAAACUGAUGGAUGGACCCGCGGUGCAUUAGCCAGUGGGUGAGGUAACGGCACACCAAGGCCACGAUGCAUAGCCGACCUGAGAGGAUGAUAGGCCACAUUGGGACUGAGACACGGCCAAAACUCCUGAGAGAGGCAGCAGUGGGGAAUCUUCGGCCAUGGACGAAAGUCUGACCGAGCAACGCCGCGUGAGUGAAGAAGGUUUUCGGAUCGUAAAACUCUUUUGUUAGAGAAGCGGUAUCUGACCAGAAAGCCACGGCUAACUACGUGCCAGCAGCCGCGGUAAUUC